AGCGAACGCUGGCGGCAGGCCUAACACAUGCAAGUCGAACGAACCUUUCGGGGUUAGUGGCGGACGGGUGAGUAACACGUGGGAACGUGCCUUUAGGUUCGGAAUAACUCAGGGAAACUUGUGCUAAUACCGAAUGUGCCCUUCGGGGGAAAGAUUUAUCGCCUUUAGAGCGGCCCGCGUCUGAUUAGCUAGUUGGUUGAGGUAAUGGCUCACCAAGGCGACGAUCAGUAGCUGGUCUGAGAGGAUGAUCAGCCACAUUGGGACUGAGACACGGCCCAAACUCCUACGGGAGGCAGAAGGGGGGAAUCUUGCGCAAUGGGCGAAAGACUGACGCAGCCAUGCCGCGUGAAUGAUGAAGGUCUUAGGAUUGUAAAAUUCUUUCACCGGGGACGAUAAUGACGGUACCCGGAGAAGAAGCCCCGGCUAACUUCGUG
rnacentral:rRNA from 1 species